CUCUGAGUGGCUUCAAAAAGAGUUUAAAAAAACAAAAAGAACCCAACCUGCCAGAUGAACUUCUCCUUUCUUCUCUCUCCAAGUGUGAAAUUACCCCCAACCCUUCUCCCACUAAGGGGAAAAAUUGCUUGUAUGCUUUGAAAAAUAAAGCCUUCAGUGUACUGAAGCAUGAGGGAGCCCCGUCAGAGAGGAGACUAAAGGAGAGCACACUGUACUUUUAUUUAGGUUUUCCUCUUACUAAAGCUUUUUGACAGCUAAGUGAAAUGAAAGAGUGUCACUGAGCAUGGAUAAAUGGAGUCUUAAAAAAAAUAAAAAAGGAGAAGAAUUGUUGUGUCUCUAAAAGGAAUGAACUGACAGACCUGUUGUUUGGACGGCAAGAUGUGUAGCAUGAAACAGGAAUUGCAGUCUAUGUUUUCAAUCAAGAAGCACAAUCAAGAUGCAAUAACUUCCCUUGAAGACUGACUGCUUUGGUCCCACGUGAAAAUACCAGUAAGCCUUCAGAGAUGAGUUCGGGGAUGCCAAUUGAUUUGAGACUAGUUUACGGCUGC